GUGCUAGCUUUGGCAGCACACAUACUAAAAUUGGAAUGAUGGCCCCUGUGCAAGGAUGAUGCAUUAAUUCACAAGCCAAUCUAUAUUUUU
rnacentral:snRNA from 1 species